UUAUGUGAUCGUCUCUCGCAUAUCAAUAAGCGGAGGAAAAGAAACUAACAAGGAUUCCCCUAGUAACGGCGAGUGAAGCGGGAAGAGCUCAAAUUUGAAAUCUUAAAGGGUUUCCCUUUACGAAUUGUAGUUUAAAGAAGUGUUUUCUGUUGAGGUUUUGGUAAAAGUUCUUUGGAAUAGGACAUCAUAGAGGGUGAGAAUCCCGUAUUUGACCUUUACUUUCAACUUUGUGAUACACUUUCAAAGAGUCGGAUUGUUUGGGAAUGCAGUCCAAAAUGGGUGGUAAAUUUCAUCUAAAGCUAAAUAUUGGCGAGAGACCGAUAGCGAACAAGUACCGUGAGGGAAAGAUGAAAAGAACUUUGAAAAGAGAGUUAAACAGUACGUGAAAUUGUCAAAAGGGAAGCGUUUGACACCAGUGUUGUUUUUCUGAAAAUCAAUUAAAGAACUGUUUAUGCUAAGUUGUUUAGACUUUAUCAGCUAACUGUUUAGUUUUGAGCUUUUCUUUAAUGCACUUUUCAGUUAACAAGUCAACAUCAAUUCCUUUUGCUGUAAAAAAGCUUGAGGAAGGUGGCUUGAGAUUCGUCUUAAGUGUUUAUAGCCUCUUGCCUAUGCAGUCGGAGAGAUUGAGGUCUGCAGCGUAGAUCCUUCGGGGCUAAAUGCAUUUGUGCUAAGUUAUAGCAUUUUAUAGACAACUUGUUGACUAUGAUUUGUCUUGUAGCUUACUCGCUUAUGUUAUUUUACCUACGCUUAGGAUGUUGACUGAUAUGUAGUCGUA
rnacentral:rRNA from 1 species